CCGCCACCCCUGAGGGCACUCCCGGCACCCAGUGCCGAGGCUCGCCCGCGGAGGUCGCGACGGGAGGUUGGACCGCGGUGGUGCGCGGCUCGCCUACCCGCAGGUGUUCCUUUGAUCCAGUGGACGGUGACUCUGGUCUUCAGCCCGAGAGUGAUUCAAAAUGCCAUCACAAGAUAUUGAAUACAGUUCCCUGUGCUACACAGUAGGACCUUGUUGUUUAUCUAUUUUAUAUAUAGUAGUUUGUACCUGCUAAUCCCAACUUCUUAAUUUAUCCCUCCCUACUCCCCUUUUCCCCUUUGGUAACCAUCAGUUUGUUUUCCAUGUCUGUGAGUGUUUGUUUUGUAAAUAAGUUCAUUCAUGUAAUUUUUUUAGAUGCCACAUAUAAGGGAUAUCAUAUGGUAUUUGUCUUUCUCUGUCUGACUUUCUUCACUUAGUAUGAUCAUCUCUAGGUCCAGCCAUGUUGCUACAAAUGGCAUUAUUUCAUUCUUUUUAUGGCUGAGUAGUAUUCCAGUGUGCAUAUGUACCACAGCUUCUUUAUCCACUCACCUGCUGAUGGACACUUAGGUUGCGUCCACAUCUUGGCUGUUGUAAACAGUGCUUGUGUGAACAUGGGGAUGCUUGUCUCUCUUCCAAGUCGAGUUUUCUCCAGAUAUGUGCCCAGGAGUGGGAUUGCCGGAUCACUGCAGCGACUUUCUACCUGCAAAUCUGGGUAAGUUAAUUGUCAUUUCCAAGCCUUUAUUUUCUUGAAGUAGUUGAGUACUUAAAUUUCUCCAUUUCUUUAACACAAGAAGCUGGUGAAAUAAUUCUGUCUCACCUCAACUGGAAUUCAAGGUCAUGAAUGUGAAGUGACGAGCCUGAUGACGAAGACAAAGGCCUGCUCUGUGUGUCAGCACCGUUCUGAGUGAUGAGCACGGACUGAGUCCCUGCACCCGCACGGCAGGUGCCGUGGUUAUGCCCAGUCUACAGAAGAGGAAGGCGACUUGCCUGAGGUCACAGAGGUAGAAAGUGGUCCAGCCGGCAUUUGAAUGUGGGCGAGCCUGGCUGCAAGGCCACGGACUAGAAGAGAAACACACUGUGGGACCCGGAGAUGCUUCUCUUCCCCCUGGUUACUGCAGGUGGGGCUUCUGCCACCCCACGUCGGGCAAGAGAGCAGGUGUCUGUCGCUGCUGAGGGAUGUUAAGUCCCUGGCACCCAGCCAGCCUGAAUGCGGACUGAAUACACUCCCGCUCCCAUCCCAAGGAAACCACCAAGCCGAGGGUCCCCUGCGAAUGGAAACAGUGGUGCCGGGUACCAGCAGCGCCUGCCGCAAGCAACAGGCAGGAAAACGGUUUGUUGAUUUGAGAUCGCUGGUGUUACAGAGCUUAGAUAAAUGUCACAUCCUUUGGAUUGCCUUCACCAAGUGAUCAUUAUGUGAGUUUGGGGGGAAAAAAAAAAAGAUUAGCUGGCUUGACCCUGCCAAGCAAAUAGUGAAGAAUUCACAUAAGGCCGAAGUGCGAAAUAAAGAGAUAAAAGGCUUUGGUGAAAAUUGGUGCAGAAUUUUGGAACAUGAGAAAUCUUAAUAUUCUCAUCAAAUGCCUCUAGGGUAGCUGAGGUCCCCAGGGAGGCAGCAGCAGGUAAAAAGGCCCUGAGGUGGCAGGGAACCAGGUCGUUCCAGCAGGGCCACUCCUCGUGGCUCAGCGACACAAGAGCCUCCGGCCCUGAGGCAUGUGGGGGCUGGAGUCCAGCCCAAGGCCACCCACCAGGUCACAUGCCCUGUUUUAGGGCUGCAUCUGCAGCCUUGAGUUCACAAAAGGCUUCAUCCACAGGAAAGGCCAGGGUUUUUUACAUUGUAGAAGGCGCCAUAUGGUCUAGUCUGUGUUUCGAGAUCUGAAAGAAAGAAAAAAAGUGCAACUAAAUUCACAAAAAGGGGGAGGUGGGGCUGGACCACCAGGACCCAUGUGCUUUGGCAGGGAAUUUGGGAGGGGAAGGGAACAAAGGUUGAGGCAGGAGAGUGGCAUGCUCUGAGUCACGUUUGAGACGGACAGCUCAGGCUGCAGCAUGAAGAAUGACUCAGAGGGACAGGUUAGACGCAUAGAGCAUCGUCCAGGUGAGAGGUGGGGAGUGCGUGCCGGGCUGGCCCUGGAGAUGAAGAAAUGUACUCCAGUGGCAAAGUACCAGCUAUUCUGCUGAGUCAGGGGACGCUAAGGACAAAUUUGUAUUGUUUUCUGUCUUCACCCCUCACCUUUGCAGGACUUUGUUAACUGAUCGACAGCACAGCCGCGGGGCAGGUCCUGGGGUUCCAGCUGCUGUGCAGUGCUCAACUGCCAGGUGACUCCCUGACGCCCUCUGUCCCUGAGACCACCGUCUCCUAAGACAGACUGAAAAGUGAUGGAAAGACAUUGAAAGGUACAAGGGUCAUAGACAUGGGCCAAGAGCUCAGGCCGAGCAGGGGACCAGGAGGACCUUCUUGGCGGCUGACUCUGGAACCUGCCGGCAGGAGCAGGAGUGCGCUGGGUGGUAGCAGGCAGGGCCUUCACAUCCACAAAAGCAGGCACACGUGGUGUCCUGGCGGGACUCCUGCUCCAUAUGGGAGGAGGGGCAGGCCGGGAAGUGAGGAGCCAUAGGAUCGGGGGCUCUAUCGUGGGCAUGAUGGGGAGCCUUGGAGAGAUGAACCAAAUCGGUCUGCCCCUCUGGAGGAAUCCCUCUGAUUUCCCUGUGCAUCAGGGCACCAUUAGCCUAGAGUCAGGGAAAUGGUUAGGAGGUCUGGCUGUCAGAUAAUGAUGUAAAAUUACUCAUUACAGAACAGCCCUGUGUGUGUCCUUGAGAUACUUGGUGCUAUUUUGAUUUUUUUUUUCCCCUUUUCUAAAUUCUUAGAAGAGUAGUUAGACCACCAGAGUCUUAGUUUACAUCAUUCAUUCACCCAACUGGUAUGCAUCAAGCAUCCCCCAUGUGGCCAGUGCGGGGAACCUGCUGGGCAGGUUAGAGUUGAGUGGAGGAAGUUUCACCCACACUGCAUGGUGGAUGCCUUAAAGGAAGAGGACUGGACACCUGGACAGCACGUUACAGAGGAGUCGGGUCAGACUCCUGCGUGUCCAGAAAGUCAUCCUGGAAUUGAAAUCUGAAGGAGAAGUUGGUAUUAAACUAUGCAAAACGGGGAGUGAGGCAUUCCAGGCGGCGGAAGCAGCUUGUGCAAAGGCCCUGGGGGGGGGGGGGGGAGACAGGGCAUAUUUGAGAAUUCAGAAAAGCAGAGACAGCAAGAGGUUAAUCAGUGAGGGAUGAGAGGAAAGAAAGCAGCCAGGCCACGCCCUUGCACGAUGCCAACUCCCUGCAAAUAUUUGAAAUUAAAACAUGAAGAGCACUUGCCCUUUUGAGAGGAUCACCUCUUGAUCUCUCUUUGAUCCCAUGGGCCCUGGUGGGUUCUAGGCAAGAAGAGUUGGCUGUGGAUGGGUCUGUGUGUGGCCCCAGCUUGUCACCCAUUCCUGCGUCACCUUUUAUCCCUCACAGGCAGGGAGGGAUGCCAGUCCCUGGGUUCGUGGUGUUGUCAGGUUUUACCUGGUACCAAUAUGAGCUUCCCAUGUGAAAAGUAAGUGCUUUGCUGAAGGCGCUGGCCACUCAGCAGUAGCAGUUCACUGUCCCCCUGCUUUAUUUUACCUGAAUUAAGGACCUAAUCCCAGUUUCCAGAACUUGCGUGUCAGCCCUCAAGAUAGUCCCCAGAAAUGUCAGCCUCACAGGAAAGAAGAAUCUCGAGGUCUCUCUACCUGAUGCUCGGAAAGCCAGCCACGUAACUCAGCACCAGCACUCAUCGGAUACACACCAAUAUCAAAAGCAUGUAAUGUCGGCAAAGUUUUCCAAUCGUAUUAUUACCCUGUUUUGCAGGUACUGAAAGUGAGGCCCAGGAGGCGCAGUAACUUGUCCUGGGAACACAGGAAGUCACACCUGUUUUCAAAGUCCCAGGGCUCAACCAUGGUGCCACCGAGCCACCCACUAGUCUAUACUACGUUCAAGGGAGCAGACCUCCAUCCUCCAGUGCUGGGGGCCCCAGAGAAGUCUAUUCUGGGCCCUUCCUCAGCAGAUGAGGAAUCCGAAUAAGGGAAAGGCAGUGAUGGGCACUGUUUUCACAUCCACCCAGGGAAGUUGGAGGCAGCUCAGCCAGCUGCCCUCUCCACCCCGGCUCUGAUAAAUGAUGACUGUCACAGGGUGUGACGAAGAUUCAAAGAAUGAGAGCCUAGAAAGUGCCUAGAACAGCAGGGGGCCUGGAUGUCCACCUCCUGCCAUCCCAAGUGAGCUGUGAAGCUGGUCCACAUCCUGCCUGGGUAGAGAAGUAUGUGGCAGAAACCUUCAGUGCGGCCAAGCUGUGGCCCACUGUGGCCCGAUGUCCUGGCAGGGAUUCUUUGAUUGUAGACGUGCGAAUCCAGACACUUCUGAACCCCAAAGCCACAGUGAUUUCCGUGGCCUGGCCAGGACUGAUGAACUGCUCCAGGUUCUCCCCCCCCCCGCCCCCGACUCCGGCAAGAAUGUGGGCAGGACCCGUGUCACAUCCCGUCCUAGGAACUGGCCCACUUUGCAGCCUCAGGACAAAACAGGUUCCAGGCUAGGUAGCAGGAAGUGAAAAAUGCAGUUUUUCUUGGUUGGGUAACUAAGAACCAUGCAGCGGGCAGGAGCCAUUUAGGGCCCCAGAGCUGUUCAUUUAAAGGUGUUUCACCUGGAAAUAGGGAUUAAACUUCAAAUGUUAUUUUCAGGUCACUUUAUGUGACAUAAUUUUAUGAUGGUGAUAAGAUCCAGGGAGCUACCAAAAAGAAAAGUUCCAAAGUUAUUUUACUGCUGAAUUUCUCUAGUCGAGAUGUUUAAUACCUCCCGGCUGAAUCUGGGACAGGGAGAGCCCUGGAGGUCACCUGCGGACUGCGGGGCCAGGCAGCGAUGGGCACUGUUUUCACGAGGACCACCUGAUUCCUCGGCUUUAGUUGGUCUGCGUGACUGCCCCGAACCCUCAGUGUUAGCCUUUGUGUUUGGAAAGUGCUUUUUACCCUCUGGAGGACAUACUCCAUCCUUAGAAGAUCCAUUCUCACCUUGGUUGUUUUAGUAGAUGUGGGAGCUACUCCACGUGGCCUUUGAAAUCUGGGGACCCUGGACAGGCAGACAAAUCGAGAGGGGGGCAGUCGUGGCAGUGUUAUGACUCAGAACCCGAGGUAAGAACGCUCUCUGGUUUUUAGGUUUGGCAACAGAGGAAUGGGAAGCCCUGCGUUCCUCCCGUACAAGGAUCAAGAUGCUAACUGGAGGAAAAAACUUUACUCCGCACAUUACCUUAAAAAUAUUUGGUUACUGUCACACCUCCUCUGGCAGAGAUAGGGGCAGCACGGAGGAGGUGACCCCACGACCCUCAGCAACGCCGAGUCCUCCCCCGCACGGUGCGGUGGGGCAGCUGGUGUUGUGAAUCAGGCCGUUGCCCAUCAGAGAACGGCUACUUCACAACACCAGGGUCACACCCCACCACAGGCAGCGCUCUGGGCACCGGCCCCCAUCACGCCUCCUCCGCGGCCGUCAGUCAUCAGCGCCGGGUCCCGCAGGCCCGGCGUGCGGCUCUCUGGUUCACCCUGCCUGCUCUGCAGACACCACUGCUGACACAGCCGCCUUGUGGCGGUGUCUCCCCCAGCCCAGACAGCUCCACUUUUAAAAGAAGACACUUCUCACAGCAUGAGCUUCUGCAGAGAGAAUGGAGCUCCCGGCUUCCCAGGGUGAGAGUGGGGUUGCGGGCCCCGAGAAGGGUUCCACGCCACGAAACUGACUAAACUGAACUCUUCCUCCCAGAUGCUCGGAAUGCACAGCGGCGAACAGGGCCUGGAUCUUGACACGUGGUGGUGAGAGCUGGGAAUAGAGCCCAGUGGAGGGAAGGGAGGACCUAGUGACAGGACGGGGGACACUCUUGGGAGAAAGGAAGGCCUUUUGUGGCCACGUAGACAGAGGACACAUCUACCUCCUCGAUGGUCCCAGGUGCCCUGGAGCCUACAUGCCUUUCUUGAAGGUGAGAGUUCCCCAGCCCUCCAUACAGACAAGAGCCGUGCACAGGGGGACCCUUCCUCGGAUGUCCAUCUGUCAGGACACUCCUGUCCUGGGUAAUGUGACCUGUCACCUGUACUGACAGGUGGGCUUCCUCUCCCAAGGGUCUCACCGGCAGGGUUAGGAAACUACCAGGGGUCUCCAGAGUUGCAGUGUUCUGUGUAAGUACCUUAAUUAAAUCUUACACGUGAUGCCACCGUAUAUAUGUUAGAGCCAAGGAAGGAGUUCACAGGCAGAGUGGCUGGGGUGACCAGCAUCCUUUCUGAAGCACUAAGAAAAACAAGGAUGCCCAUGUCUCUGGCUUUCUAUGGGACAGAGAGACCCAGGGCCACUGUGAUUAACCCAGGCCCCGAUGUUGCUGUCCCGUAGGAAACCAGAGGGAUGGCCAGAAACCAGCCAGGUGCAAACACUGCACAGAGCCUGGGUUCAUCACAGCGGCCCUGGGUCUCUGUCACCGUGAAGUUCUGGGAUGUGAGUCUGCUGCGUCUGUGAAGUUCUGCCUCUUCCCCCAGACUGCUAAGGCAGCUCUGAAAUAUGUACUAGGUAAUGCUGGGAGACAAGUAUCUUUCAAAAGUUCAAAAGUUUCCAGUUUUUUCAGAAAGGUCUUCCUGUCUUCUCUUUAAAAUACAUGCACAGCAUGUUCCCGAGAAUCCACCCACUGCCCAGCUCCCCUGCCACCACCAGCAUCCAGGCAGUGCCACUCACAGUGUGGUCCAUGCUGGCAGCGUCAGCAUGCAGGAAAGGUGGUCUCCCACCCUCCUCCGCACGCCUGCGGCCUCCCAGUCCUGGGGGUGACACCUGUGCUCAGGGACUGGCUGUUAAGAGGCUCUCCAGGGGAGGCUUCAGAUGUGUGACCACCUCCUUUUUGCUCUCCCCACAUCCUGUCCAGCUUCCAUUCCAACCCCAUCUCUUCUUUUCCAAAUGCACGCUUACAUCGUGUGAAUCGCUCCACCCCCUUAAAAGAGUUGGCCUCACCCAGACUGCACUGGGACUCCAAGUGGCAGGCAUGCCCCAGCCACCUCUCAGUCCACACCAUUCCUCCCUCUGACACACCUGCCCCAAGACCCCUCUCCAGGUGCUCACACCUUCCCCAGGACUGGUCCUCACUGUCCUCCAGAUUUCAGCCAGCGCUGAUCACUGACUCCCCAAAACCCAGAAAGCCAAGCCAGGUAAGGUAACUGAUUAGAGCGUUUCUCUCAUUCUGUCAUCCUGCCUUCACUGGUGGGCAUCUUCGCUGAAUGUGUGUUUUCCCCACUGGCCGGAUGGAUGCUCUCUGAGGGCAGGGACCUCCAGCCGAGCUAGGUCUCUGGCAUUUAGCGGCUCAGUAAUGUAUUUGUUCAUAGCCUGAGCCGUGAGUGUCCUCCCAGGUCAAAUUCUCUCUUGCCCAUCGGAGCCCUGGAUCUCUGAUUCUGACAGUGAUUCUAGUAACAGCCACAGGCACUACUCUGAGCCCUUUGAGUCGUCGUUGACCCAAGGCCUCAAUUUCCUCCUAACGGCAGGUCGUGUAAGCGCCCUAUUAGGUAAGUCACAGGACCACACCAUCCAUCAUGUUGCUAAUUGGCUACACUGCUCCUCUAACCCAGGCAGUCUGGCUUCUGGGCCACUGCUCUGUGCUGUUGAGGGGCCAGAUGGAGGGGACAAAGCUGGAUAUGGAGGUCCCCACCAUUCCUCAGAAGCCGCCCCUCGAGUUUCUGAAACCUGGCGGACCAGGCAUUCUUUCUCCCUGUCUGUGUCUUUCUAAGAGGUUAGAUUCUCACCUUGUUUAAAGCACUUCAUCAUGGAACCUGAUUAAAAACCUAAUGAAAUAUAAAAUAGGGUCACGUCCAGAGAGAGAACUGUUUCAGAACCAGGGGAAGCGUGACUUCAUUUCCUGGUUAAGCUGGUGAAUUCAUUCCAGGUUUGCACAGUUACCUUCAGGGGUCAGAGCUUCUGCAAAAAGCUGGGUUUAGAAAGGACACUUCCCGAGCAAAUACUUAGUAUCAAAUAGAGCAGUGGUUCUCGAAGUUGGGUCCCUGGACCAGCAACAGCAUCACUUGGGAACUUGUUCGACAUGCAUGUGCUCUGGGUCCUCACGGCCCUGCAGCAUCAGAAACCCUGGGGGGAGGUCCGGCAGUCUGGCGGAAGCCUUCUGAUGUGCUCUCCUCACCUGCUUUGGGGAGGGGGUAGGUUUUCUUGUUUUACUUCGCCUGUAGUCAUCACCAGACACUGUCCUUAGGCCCCCCAGAGGGUCUUUUGUGUUCCUUUUAUAUAAGCCACAGCCAAGGACAUUUUCAGCACCAUGCACCUGCUUCUGGUGCUGAAGGAAGGCUCCUUUUUAAUAUAUGUAUAAUAUGUGUAAUGUAUAUAAUGUUAUAUGUAUUAUGUAUAUAUUAUGUAUAUAUGUAUUGUAUAUUUAUUAAUGUACUAUGUACAUGUAUUACAUAUAUAUAGUAUAUAUAAUAAUUUGAGGGCUUCGGCUCAUUGUGCUGCUACAGAGCCAGAGUUCCACAUUGACAUCUUACCUCCUACAGCGAGGCUGUGGGGAAAGCUGUGUACACCCUCUGCUGAAAUUUCAGGAAGAUUUCAUGGGCCUCACGGGUAGAGUUGAAGCAGAAGGUUUCCACCGUGGUGACAAUUUUUUAUGGAUUUUUAACUGAAAUGUAGCAAUUUACAAUGUUGUGUUAGUUUCAGGUGUACAGCAAAGUGAUUCAGAUAUAUAUAUAUAUUUAUAUUCCUUUUCAGAUGCUGUUCCAUUAUUUUUGAUGGAUUUUUAAAGAGAGGAGGGGCAGUAAAAAUCCACCCCACCAUUCUGUCUGCUCCCUAAAAACAACUCAAAGAACCUCACCCAGAUCAUGGUGAAAGUUUGAAAUUGCCGUUUUCAAAGGCGUGGCGGUGUAAACAGUUUCUUGUCUGUAGCACAAGGAACUGUAUUCAGUAUCUCGUAGUAACCUACAGUGAAGACGAACGUAGGUACGUACACGUAUUACUGAAACGUUAUGCUGUAUACCAGAAAUUGACACACUGAGAACUGACUAUACUACAGAAAGAAAAUUAUUUUAAAUUUAAAAAUUAAGAAAAAUAAAAGGCAUAGGAGGAAAGAG